rnacentral:rRNA from 1 species
GCGAUUCGACAUGAUCUGAUUUAUUGAUUGGUUUGUUGUUUAUUUUUGUUUUUAUUGUUUUAUUUAUUGAAGUAUCAUUUUUGUUGUUGUAUUUUUGUGAUUUAAUUUUUUUACGAUAGAUUAUUUGUACCGUGAGGGGUUAUUUUUGUAUCUAAUGUUUUUGAGGAAGCUGAUUUUAUUUUUCGUACCUUGUGUAUCAGGGUUCAUUAAAUUUUAUUAUUUAUUUUUAUUUCCCGAUUUUGAAGGAGUUAAUGAUUUAUGUUAGUUACUGUUUCAUUAGUAUUAAUAAUAUAUUGUUGGUAGUGAAAUGUUAUUCGUCUUUAGUGGUUUCUGGUUUUUCAAGAAAUGAAUUUAAUUCAUACAUCUUAUUUAAUUUCUGUUUUUAUGUUAUUAAUUUUUAUUUGAUGUUAAGAUUAAGGGGGAUUAGCUCUUUAUUUUAUGUUUAUAAUUUUUAUUAUUAUUUAUUUUUGUGGAUUUUAUGGUGAUUUUCAAUUUGAUUAUGUUAAAAUUUUAUUUUUCCUUUUGUUUAUUUUUUUAAAAUUUAAUUUAUUUAUUGAAAUGUUUUCUUUAUCUUUUUUUGUAUAUUAAUUAUUGUGUAAUUAGUAAAUCUUGCUUUUUGUGUUGUUUAUUAAUUGGGUGACAAUCUCCUUUUAGGAAUUCGGCAAAUUAUCAUUUCCGCCUGUUUAACAAAAACAUCUUUUCUUGUUAGUUUUUGAAGUAUAGCCUGCCCACUGACUUAUAUGUUGAAGGGCCGCGGUAUUUUGACCGUGCAAAGGUAGCAUAAUCAUUAGUUCUUUAAUUGUGAUCUGGUAUGAAUGGCUUGACGAGACAUGAGCUGUCUUAAGGGUGUUAUAUUUAUUGAAUUUGGUUUUUGAGUUAAAAUUCUUAGAUGUUUUUAUGGGACGAGAAGACCCUAUAGAGUUUUACAUUUUGUUCUACAUUUAUUUUGUUUGUUUAUUGGUUUGUUAGGAUUUAUUGUUUUGUUGGGGUGAUGGGAGGAAUAAAUUUAACUCCUCUUAAUUUUUUUAUACUUAUUUGUAUUUGUUUUGAUCCAUUUAUUUUGAUUAUAAGAUUAAAUUACCUUAGGGAUAACAGCGUUAUCUUCCUUGAGAGUUCUUAUUGGCAGGAAGGUUUGCGACCUCGAUGUUGGAUUAAGGUUAAUUUUUGGUGCAGGAGCUGAAAUGAUUAGGUCUGUUCGACCUUUAAAAUCUUACAUGAUCUGAGUUCAGACCGGCGUGAGCCAGGUUGGUUUCUAUCUAUAAUUAUAUUUUAUAUCUUAGUACGAGAGGACCGGGUAUUUGGAAUAAUUUUUAUUAUGUGAUUUUUAUUAAUAUGGUUACUAUUUUGGCAGAUAAGUGCAUUGGAUUUAGAAUCUAUUAA